ensembl:lincRNA Gm35584 predicted gene, 35584
GACAUCCUUCCUUCAUACUGGAGUCUUUGCCCAGAGUGUGACCCUGUCAGUACGCAUCUCAGAUGCCAUGUGCCACAGCACCGGGAAGAGAACGGGGCUGAAUGUUAACAAGAAAGUGGAAGGAAGCUCUGUCUGAAGAGAAACAGGAGGCCAGCACCAGCUGCACACCUGGGAUCCCAGCCCUCGGGGAGCUGGAGGGACAAGCAGAUGUGACAUUCAAGGUCAGCUUGGACUACCUGAGAUAAUUUAGCUCAUAAACAAAACCACGCAAGCAAAAGAAAGCCACGUGGAGGCAGGAGGCUCCCCUAAGAAGCAGGAUUUAUGCAUAUCUCCUGCUCUGCUUGGCCUGGGAGCUUUUCCCACUUUGCCUACAGGCAUCCAGAUAAUGAGUUUGUGUUCGUUGUGUUAAGAGGCACAUCAGCUCCCUAUCAGACUGGCCUUCCCGGUGCUCUACUGAGCACAGAAGCACUUAUUGUUAUCUCUCACCAAUCUUGUACCCCUUGUAGACUUGCCAUUCCUUUCCAACUUCAAUAAGUUUCUCCUUAAAUAACCUUGUCUAAUUAAGUUCUCCUCCCCAACACCCCGCAUAAGUCCCAAUCUGUCUUACAGCCCUUCAGUCCUAAGACUCCAAUAAAGUUCUUUGUUCUU